CCCGUCACAUCACGAAAGUUGGCUGCACCUGAAAGUGUUGCGUUGACCCGCAAGGGAGACAGGCACUCACGGUGUGGUCGAUGAUUGGGGUG
rnacentral:rRNA from 1 species